rnacentral:rRNA from 1 species
UCCAGCAGCCAUAUCAUCCUGCAACUCACAACUGGCAACCCAGGUGUGAGCCUGGUCAGUACCUGGAUGGGAGACCUCCUGGGAAAAACUAAGGUUGCUGCUGGAA